AUUCUAAGAUAUAAGUAUGAAUAUGAUUAGCAUUAACUAUUUUCUAUUAUCUAUACCCAAAUUUCAAUUUUAAAUAUCAAUAAAUUAUGUUUGCUUAAUUUUUUAUUAUUAAUUACAAAUUUGUAUAAAUUAAAUACAAAAUUAAAUAAUUUAUUUGUCUAACUUGUUUUUUCUAGGAAUCUAAAAAAGCUCUGUCUAAUCUUGCAUACAAAAAUCAGUUGAGAAGAACUUUUGCCAAGUCUACCGCUUUGUGAAUCAAACAAGGUCGCUCAACUAAGUCAGCUGAUUUAUUUAAACAAAAUCACAAAACACGUUGGAAUUCACUGUAUGAUGCAGUGGUGCUGCUUAAUAAAUAAAUUUAAAAUAAUGAACUUAAGUUAAGAAUAAUAAUGGACAAAUUGGCUUUUGGCAGAACAAAACGUUUGGUAGAGUUGGAUUGCUCCUGCCAUCACCGGUGUUCACGUACGGACAACUGUAUGUAGCGUUUUCCCGAGUGAGGGACUCUCAAUCCAUUAGAGUUGGUAUAUACAGUGAUGACCAUGGUAGAAUCGUCACUAAGAACAUUGUGUACAGAGAAGUUCUACAAGCGAUAUAACUGCACAAUGAAGUCUAAAAGAACUCAUCUACAAGAACUUAAUAAACAUUGAAUCCAAUCUGGGUGAAUCUGUUUAGAAUUAUUUAUGUACUCAAAAAUAUAUUAGCAGAUAUUGGUAUUCAUUUGUAUUAUUUCAGAAACAUACUAGAAAUGACUUUAUCAAUGCAGGUGUAACAGAAACAGAAUCAUUGUUGUACUGCUACUAAGACAUAGGGGAAAAUCGACAACUUCUACGUGCUUCUCUCUUGAUGCGGAUUUUGUAAUGUAUUUGUUUCAAAUGUCAAACAUGCAUUUAAACUGGCUGCGACUCGCACACUAUGUGAAACAUUAUACUUGAAAUGACUUUAUCAAUGCAGGCGUAACAGCAACAGAAUCAUUAUUGUACUGCUACUAAGACAUAGGGCAAAUUUCGACAACCUCGUCGUGCUUUUCUCUUGAUGCGGAUUUUGUAAUGUAUUUGUAUCAAAUGUCAAACAUGCAUUUAAACUCGCUAGACACUCAGUUACAGUUUUCAGAUUGCUUGCCUCAUCGUGUUACCCGACCUUUGCACGUUGUCCGCUAUACGACAAAGUCGGAAGGCCUACCUGCCAGACUACGCUCAAAAUCGAGCCGGGUGACUGACUUCCUAGACACUCAAAAAUUGAGGCAGCUAUACAACUUAAUUUCUUUUUGAAUUUCCCGCUUUUCACUUACAUCUAGCAUGCGACGGGUCAUGCAUCCAAUCCACCAUACACACAUGCCCUAUAACUCUUUGAUUUGCAUAGAGCGAUGAUUAUCAAUUACAAAUUUGUACAAAUUAAAUACAAAAUAAAAUAAUUUAUUUGUCUAAUCUUGCAUACAAAAAACAGUCAAGAAGCACUUUUGCCAAGUCUACCGCUUUGUGGAACAAAGAAUGUCGCUUAACUUAGUCACCUGAUUUAGUUAAACAAAAUCUUGGUGUUUAUUUAAUUACACCCAACGAGACACGUUGGAAUUCACUGUUUGAUGUAGUGGUGUUGCUUAAUAAAUAAAUUAAAAAUAAUGAACCCAAGUUUAGAAUAAUAAUGGACGAAUUGGCUAUUAGCAGGUUAAUUAUUUGAUAGAAGUGAUAUUGAUUUCAUGUGUCAACACCAUACAAUUAUGGGGCCAAUUUCAAUAAGCUUGGAUUUACUCCAGGGUGUGAUACUAACAUAUACUUUGGUCAUCUCCUACCUACAAUUGAAGGAUUAAUUUAUAAAUUUGAAUCAAUGACAAGUGAUCUAACAGUUCUAAUUAUAUGAAACUUCUGGUGACUGUCAUACUUAAUGGGAUGAAAACAAGGUUUGCCGAUUAUUUGAUAGACAAAUUUUUAAUUACUGCUGCAGUCUGCCACCCACUAUUUAAAAAAGUAUGGAUUAAAAAUGAUAUAAAAAAUAAUUGGCCUCAGAAUAUUUAAAAAGUGCCUGUUAUGACUUAUAUACCAGUAAUAAUGACAAUAAUGAUGUAGAAGAUAACCAAAUGAAAGAUAUAUUAUCUACCUUUUUUACCAGGUCACUAAAUUCCUGAGAGCAAAAAUCAACAGUUAGUGAUGAAAUAGAUAGAUUUUUGGGCACAUCUCCAACAAAGACUUUAGAAUGUUUGCAUAAUUUACCCAAUAUCAAAAAAAAUUUUCAGGUAUUUGUGAAGUACAACACUCCACUACCUAGCAGUGCACCAGUAGAGAGAGUAUUAAGUGUUGGUAAUGCAACAAUACCAAAUAAAGAACAAAUAUGACGGAUCAGUAUUUUGAACAAAUAAUGUUCUUAAAAUGCAACACUCAAAUGUUCGAUUAAUAUAAUAUAUUAUAAAUGAUUCAGA